GCUGUCGUCAGCUCGUGUCGUGAGAUGUCGGGUUAAGUCCCUUAACGAGCGAAACCUUUGCCCUUAGUUACCAUCGGGUCAUGCCGGGGACUCUAAGGGGACUGCCGGUGUCAAACCGGAGGAAGGUGGAGAUGACGUCAAGUCCUCAUGGCCUUUAUGCCCAGGGCCACACACGUGCUACAAUGCGGCGGACAAAGCGAACCUAAAGCGCGAGCUCAUGGAAAUCGCAGAAAUCGCCGCCCAGUUCAGAUCGGAGGCUGCAACCCGCCUCCGUGAAGUUGGAAUCGCUAGUAAUCGC
rnacentral:rRNA from 12 species